GGGUUGUGAGGUUAAGCGACUAAGCGUACACGGUGGAUGCCCUGGCAGUCAGAGGCGAUGAAGGACGUGCUAAUCUGCGAUAAGCGUCGGUAAGGUGAUAUGAACCGUUAUAACCGGCGAUUUCCGAAUGGGGAAACCCAGUGUGUUUCGACACACUAUCAUUAACUGAAUCCAUAGGUUAAUGAGGCGAACCGGGGGAACUGAAACAUCUAAGUACCCCGAGGAAAAGAAAUCAACCGAGAUUCCCCCAGUAGCGGCGAGCGAACGGGGAGCAGCCCAGAGCCUGAAUCAGUGUGUGUGUUAGUGGAAGCGUCUGGAAAGGCGCGCGAUACAGGGUGACAGCCCCGUACACAAAAAUGCACAUGCUGUGAGCUCGAUGAGUAGGGCGGGACACGUGGUAUCCUGUCUGAAUAUGGGGGGACCAUCCUCCAAGGCUAAAUACUCCUGACUGACCGAUAGUGAACCAGUACCGUGAGGGAAAGGCGAAAAGAACCCCGGCGAGGGGAGUGAAAAAGAACCUGAAACCGUGUACGUACAAGCAGUGGGAGCACGCUUCGGCGUGUGACUGCGUACCUUUUGUAUAAUGGGUCAGCGACUUAUAUUCUGUAGCAAGGUUAACCGAAUAGGGGAGCCGAAGGGAAACCGAGUCUUAACUGGGCGUUAAGUUGCAGGGUAUAGACCCGAAACCCGGUGAUCUAGCCAUGGGCAGGUUGAAGGUUGGGUAACACUAACUGGAGGACCGAACCGACUAAUGUUGAAAAAUUAGCGGAUGACUUGUGGCUGGGG
rnacentral:rRNA from 1 species